GGCAGCCGUAGCGAAAGCGAGUCUUAAUAGGGCGUAUGAGUCGCAUGUUCUAGACCCGAAGCGAAGUGAUCUAUCCAUGGCCAGGUUGAAGCGACGGUAAGACGUCGUGGAGGACCGAACCCACUUCAGUUGAAAAUGGAGGGGAUGAGCUGUGGAUAGGGGUGAAAGGCCAAUCAAACUUCGUGAUAGCUGGUUCUCUCCGAAAUGCAUUUAGGUGCAGCGUUGCGUGUUUCUCGCCGGAGGUAGAGCUACUGGAUGGCCGAUGGGCCUCAACAGGUUACUGACGUCAGCCAAACUCCGAAUGCCGGUGAGUGAGAGCGCAGCAGUGAGACGGUGGGGGAUAAGCUUCAUCGUCGAGAGGGAAACAACCCAGACUACCAACUAAGGUCCCUAAGCGUGUGCUAAGUGGGAAAGGAUGUGGAGUUGCACAGACAACCAGGAGGUUGGCUUAGAAGCAGCCACCCUUGAAAGAGUGCGUAAUAGCUCACUGGUCAAGUGAUUCCGCGCCGACAAUGUAACGGGGCUCAAGCACACCACCGAAGUUGUAGAUUUCGCACUAUAGACAAGCCUUCGUGGUUCAGUCGUGCGGAGUGGUAGGAGAGCGUCGUGUGGCGAGUGAAGCGGCGGAGUGAUCCAGCCGUGGACGCUACACGAGUGAGAAUGCAGGCAUGAGUAGCGAAAGACGGGUGAGAAACCCGUCCUCCGAAAGACCAAGGGUUCCAGGGCCAGGUUAAUCCGCCCUGGGUAAGUCGGGACCUAAGGCGAGGCCGACAGGCGUAGUCGAUGGACAACGGGUUGAUAUUCCCGUACCGGCGAACAACCGCCCAAGCUAAUCCAGUGGUGCUAAGAGUCCUAACCCGGUACAACCGGAUCCCUUCGGGGUGAUGGUGGCCGGUCUAACGCUCGACCCCAUGCUGGUGCGGUUAGCGUAUGAACAGGUGUGACGCAGGAAGGUAGCUGAGCCAGGCGAUGGUAUCCGUAAGGUGAACCUGGUGUAAGGAUGUAGGGCUGACGAUAGGCAAAUCCGUCGUCUGUGUGCCUGAGAUCCGACGCGUACCCGUAAGGGGAAAUCAGUGAUCCUAUGCUGCCGAGAAAAGCAUCGACGCGAGGUUGCAGCCGCCCGUACCCGAAACCGACUCAGGUGGUCAGGUAGAGAAUACCAAGGAGAUCGAGAGAAUCGUGGUUAAGGAACUCGGCAAAAUGCCUCCGUAACUUCGGGAGAAGGGGGGCCGGACACGUGACCGGAUUU
rnacentral:rRNA from 1 species